rnacentral:rRNA from 1 species
UACGUAGGGGGCGAGCGUUGUCCGGAAUUAUUGGGCGUAAAGAGCGUGUAGGCGGUUCGGUAAGUCUGCCGUGAAAACCUGGGGCUCAACCCCGGGCGUGCGGUGGAUACUGCCGGGCUAGAGGGUGGUAGAGGCGAGUGGAAUUCCCGGUGUAGCGGUGAAAUGCGCAGAUAUCGGGAGGAACACCAGUGGCGAAGGCGGCUUGCCAGAACGCGCUCGACGGUGAGGGAUGAAAGCUGGGGGAGCAAACCGG